rnacentral:lncRNA from 1 species
UUGCAGUAGCAGCCGCUGCUCCCUUUCUCCCUCUCUUCCUCCCUCUUUUGCCACUGUCUGGGCCCCAUCUGGGAUUCCUGGGCCCUUUGGAAAAGAGUUGGUGAAAUGCGCAGCCGGCUGUGGACGGGGGAGGAGGAAGGGGACAGAGGGAGCAGGAAUAAGACUGUAGAACUGUUUUGUACUGUGAAUUACGGAUGCUCUUUGAAGGAAAGAAAUAUCGAUUCUAAUGUUCUUCAGAAGUUCUGGCAGGGAUAAGCAGGACAUCGACUGGAACGUAUGCUAAAUGAAAGCAGACAAAUUUCUAUUUUCUUACCUGAGCAAAUAUUUUAUUGAAACUGCUUAUGUAUGUCAAAGGAGCCCACAACUUCAGCUACACAACUUUUUGUAUUGAAAGAACUCAUACUUUUUGUAGCUUUUAUUUCACAUUUAAUUUAAAGUGACUUUUAGCACUAAAAUGCCUAGAAGAUUUUACUCCAGACCUAUAAGGAAAUGUUUAGUUUUUAUGAAAAAUGACAAGUCGAUGGUUAAACUUCUCAUGUCUUUGGUGCUUUGGCCCUAAUAGCACUGGACAACACCACGACCACAUGGAAACAUAUUUUUGGAAGCAAAACUUUAAUUUUAUAUAACGUAUGCUAUGGAGAGCUAAGACAAUUUAAGGACUACUUGUUUUCUAUUUUUUUUCUUAAUAAAAUGGAAUCCACUGUGUUGAAGACUCUUGAUAUCAUGUGCUUGUCUAACCAUUUUUUGUUUUAUAAAUUAGAAUAAAAUAUAGUUGUGAUAAUGGUCAUCGAAUGGAUUUGUUUGGAAAGCUACAUCUUAUUUGUGAAAUGUUUUUUAAAUCAGA